rnacentral:rRNA from 1 species
GACGAACGCUGGUGGCGUGCCUAAUACAUGCAAGUAGAACGCUGAAGACUUUAGCUUGCUAAAGUUGGAAGAGUUGCGAACGGGUGAGUAACGCGUAGGUAACCUGCCUACUAGCGGGGGAUAACUAUUGGAAACGAUAGCUAAUACCGCAUAACAGCAUUUAACCCAUGUUAGAUGCUUGAAAGGAGCAAUUGCUUCACUAGUAGAUGGACCUGCGUUGUAUUAGCUAGUUGGUGAGGUAACGGCUCACCAAGGCGACGAUACAUAGCCGACCUGAGAGGGUGAUCGGCCACACUGGGACUGAGACACGGCCCAGACUCCUACGGGAGGCAGCAGUGGGGAAUCUUCGGCAAUGGGGGCAACCCUGACCGAGCAACGCCGCGUGAGUGAAGAAGGUUUUCGGAUCGUAAAGCUCUGUUGUAAGAGAAGAACGUGUGUGAGAGUGGAAAGUUCACACAGUGACGGUAACUAC